AUUUGUUUGGAAGGCUCCUUAGAAUCUUGCUCACUUGCUUUUUCUCAGUUACUGGAUCUCCUAGUCCAGCCAGAUCAUUGACUAUUUGUGAUAGUCGAAUAUUCAUUUCUGCGAUAGUCUCAUCUUCCCUCAUAGAGAAUCUUUCGAAUUGAGAAGUGGCAUGUAGUAGCUUGUUUUCCUUGACGUGGGAGGUUCCUUCAUGUAGAU
rnacentral:lncRNA from 1 species